AAAUAGAUACCCGGGUAGUCCACGCCGUAAACGAUGAGUGCUAAGUGUUAGAGGGUUUCCGCCCUUUAGUGCUGCAGCUAACGCAUUAAGCACUCCGCCUGGGGAGUACGGUCGCAAGACUGAAACUCAAAGGGAAUUGACGGGGGCCCGCACAAGCGGUGGAGCAUGUGGUUUAAUUCGAAGCAACGCGAAGAACCUUACCAGGUCUUGACAUCCCACUGACCGGUAUAGAGAUAUACCUUUCCCUUCGGGGACAGUGGUGACAGGUGGUGCAUGGUUGUCGUCAGCUCGUGUCGUGAGAUGUUGGGUUAAGUCCCGCAACGAGCGCAACCCUUGAUCUUAGUUGCCAGCAUUUAGUUGGGCACUCUAAGGUGACUGCCGGUGACAAACCGGAGGAAGGUGGGGAUGACGUCAAAUCAUCAUGCCCCUUAUGACCUGGGCUACACACGUGCUACAAUGGAUGGUACAAAGGGCUGCAAGACUGCGAAGUCAAGCCAAUCCCAUAAAACCAUUCUCAGUUCGGAUUGCAGG
rnacentral:rRNA from 1 species